rnacentral:tRNA from 1 species
GGGUUAAUAUUGUAAUUGGUAAUGAAGUUUCUUGUCAAGAAAUACUAUGUCGGUUCAAGUCCGACUUAACCCG